ACGAGAUUAGCUACACUGUAGUAUGUAACUAAAACUUUUAAUUAGCUUAGGGCCGAAAGCUCUAGGCAUAACUACAAAAUAUAGCGAGGUCAAGUUCAAGGAGUUGCCACGUGUGCGUACCAUUCAGCCUAAGCUGGAUGAUGCUACAAGGUAGCCCUGGGAAAAGCUUUCGUUUACUCACAACAUAAAUUUUGUAAUUUAUGUAGUACCAAGCCUAGUCAUAAACUACGUCCAUGUAUGUGUUUUGUAGCUGGUUUCCCUAAGGGAAACCUUACUUGAGCAUUGCGCUUGUUUCCUUUCGGGAAACGUUGGUUGUAGUUUGCUAACUAGGUACUUGGUACCUUAUGUAGAAUAUGUAUGUAGAAUAUGUAUGUAGAAUAUGUAUGUAGAAUAUGUAUGUAGAAUAUGUAUGUAGAAUAUGUAUGUAGAAUAUGUAGAACCUUUGCCCUUUAUGCUAACGUAUGUGCUGGUUAUAAGCCUAGUUGUAUUUUAGGGGCUUCGUCUUCCCCUUUAGGGGACCCUAACGGAGGCUGUCUUUCAAACCAUGCGCGAAGCCCCGUGAACGUACGCGUGGUUGCAAAAAGAGCUAACCGGUCGAAGCUCCCAACGUCAUCAUCAAACUACGUAUUGUGAUUUAAUGUAGUAAAACUAGUAGCUCAUAACGUUUAGUUAAACUCCUCUGUAGUUAACAUUAAACUACCUACAGGUCUUCGGCCCUCUCGUUGUGAGACAGUCCGUUGGAUUAUGGUGACGGGUGCUCUUGUAUGUAGUUUAAUUUUGUUAAACUAUAUUANAUAACAACUAUACUUCGGCCGAAGUCUUACUUAUUAGGGAGAGGGAGCAAUGCCAUCCCCUUCNNN
rnacentral:lncRNA from 1 species